GCCGCUGCCACGUCAGGUUUCACAGCUAUUUGUGGCAAUGAAUGGAUGUGGGGUAAGUGGCCAGGGGAAAUUACUGCAAUCCCCAAGUUCAAAGACACAUCAGCCUUAUUCGAGCUUUACCCCAUUGUGGCAGCAGCAGUUAAGUGGGGAGCUGGCUGGUCUGGGAAUACGGUGCGUUGCUUCUCUGACAACAUGGCAACGUGCCAUAUUGUUAACAAGGG